rnacentral:tRNA from 1 species
CGGCACCCAACCGCCCUUAGCGAC